rnacentral:rRNA from 1 species
UCAAUAAGCGGAGGAAAAGAAACUAACAAGGAUUCCCCUAGUAACGGCGAGUGAAGAGGGAAAAGCUCCAAUUUUGAAUCUGGUGUCUUUGGCGCCCGAGUUGUAAUCUAGAGAAGUGUUUUCCGCAUUGGACCGUGCACAAGUUCCCUGGAACGGGGCGUCAUAGAGGGUGAGAAUCCCGUAUAUGGCACGGACUACCAGCGCUCUGUGAUACACUCUCAACGAGUCGAGUUGUUUGGGAAUGCAGCUCAAAACGGGUGGUAAAUUCCAUCUAAAGCUAAAUAUUGGCGAGAGACCGAUAGCGAACAAGUACCGUGAGGGAAAGAUGAAAAGCACUUUGGAAAGAGAGUGAAACAGUACGUGAAAUUGUUGAAAGGGAAGCGUUUGAAGUCAGUCACGUUUUACGGGAUUCAGCCUGGCUUUUGCCUGGUGUAUUUUCUGUCCAACGGGUCAGCAUCAAUUUUGACCGAGGGAGAAAGCUGUGGGGAAUGUGGCUGUCUUCGGGCAGUGUUAUAGCCCUGUGGUGUAUGUCUCGAUUGGGAUUGAGGUACGCAGCGCGCCUAUUGGCCGGGGGUUCGCGCCCCUCGGUACGCGCUUAGGAUGCUGGCAUAAUGGCUUUAAGCGACCCGUCUUGAAACACGGACCAAGGAGUCUAACAUGUGCGCGAGUGUUUGGGUGUCAAACCCAGGCGCGGAAUGAAAGUGAAAGGUCGGGAUCUGGAAACAGUGCACCGACGCCCGGAGCAGACCUUCUGUGACGCAUCCGCGGUAGAGCGUAUAUGUUGGGACCCGAAAGAUGGUGAACUAUGCCUGAAUAGGGUGAAGCCAGAGGAAACUCUGGUGGAGGCU